rnacentral:rRNA from 1 species
CGGGGGGGCUAAUUAAAUGGGCAAGGUCGAGCGUAAUGGAUUGAGAGCUUGCUCUCAAGAAGUUAGCGGCGGACGGGUGAGUAACACGUGGGUAACCUGCCCAUAAGACUGGGAUAACUCCUGGAAACCGGGGCUAAUACCGGAUAACAUUUUGAACUGCAUGGUUCGAAAUUGAAAGGCGGCUUCGGCUUUCACUUAUGGAUGGACCCGCGUCGCAUUAGCUAGUUGGUGAGGUAACGGCUCACCAAGGCAACGAUGCGUAGCCGACCUGAGAGGGUGAUCGGCCACACUGGGACUGAGACACGGCCCAGACUCCUACGGGAGGCAGCAGUAGGGAAUCUUCCGCAAUGGACGAAAGUCUGACGGAGCAACGCCGCGUGAGUGAUGAAGGCUUUCGGGUCGUAAAACUCUGUUGUUAGGGAAGAACAAGUGCUAGUUGAAUAAGCUGGCAGCUUGACGGUACCUAUCCAGAAAGCCACGGCUAACUACGUGCCAGCAGCCGCGGUAAUACGUAGGUGGGAGCGUUAUCCGGAAUUAUUGGGCGUAAAGCGC